CCGCCCUUAGCUCAGUUGGAUAGAGCACUCGCCUUCUAAGCGAGCGGUCAGAGGUUCUUAUAGCGGG
rfam:Cupriavidus metallidurans CH34, complete genome.